rnacentral:rRNA from 1 species
CCUACGGGUGGCAGCAGUGGGGAAUAUUGGACAAUGGGCGAAAGCCUGAUCCAGCCAUGCCGCGUGUGUGAAGAAGGCCUUCGGGUUGUAAAGCACUUUCAGUGGGGAAGAAAGCCUUGGGGCUAAUACCCUCGAGGAAGGACAUCACCCACAGAAGAAGCACCGGCUAACUCCGUGCCAGCAGCCGCGGUAAUACGGGAGGGUGCGAGCGUUAAUCGGAAUUACUGGGCGUAAAGCGCGCGUAGGCGGUCUGAUAAGCCGGUUGUGAAAGCCCCGGGCUCAACCUGGGAACGGCAUCCGGAACUGUCAGGCUAGAGUGCAGGAGAGGAAGGUAGAAUUCCCGGUGUAGCGGUGAAAUGCGUAGAGAUCGGGAGGAAUACCAGUGGCGAAGGCGGCCUUCUGGACUGACACUGACGCUGAGGUGCGAAAGCGUGGGUAGCAAACAGGAUUAGAUACCCUUGUAGUC